ensembl:lncRNA LINC00710 long intergenic non-protein coding RNA 710
UUUUCUGACAUUUGAAAAGAUCUGAAGAUACGCCCCUUGGAUGCCUGCAGAGAAGCUCUGGGGCUUCAGUCAAUGACUCAGGGUAGCCACCGAACAUGAUGCUCGGGCAGUGGGUGCCACCUGGACUCCACUCUCCCCUCUCUCUGGGAUCAUAGAGUCCAAGGUGUUCUGUGGCCUCUCGGCCAAUCCCAGCAGCUCAGCGUGCAGAAGACCGAGGAGCCAUUGGUCAGUGUAGGAGGUGCCUGGAGUUUUGGAGAUGGGAUCCACAGGAAUUCAACACAACACGAAAUAAUCAACAAAUUCGGGGAAUGUUAAUCUGACCAUCACCAGUUACAAAUGAUGUUUCAUGCUACCUUCUAUUCCUGCCUUCAUAAAUCAAGCUCUAAAUCUCCAGGAAAAAAUGUGCUCAGGAUGGCCAGAGAAAUGUCCUUCCAACUGUGCAUGGAAAGGUAUGAUUUUGUGCAGCAGGUGAAGGACUGGUUAGAGUAAGUGUGUGCUGAGCUUUUGUGUUUGAAAGCGAGCCUGUGCACUUCUAACGAUUGGAAGGUUUCCUUGCCUUCUCCGAUCUUACACACAGCAAGGACAGCAAAGCCUUCCAGACCUGCCUGUGACAUGCACUGCACAUUCUAAAGAUGCCUAUGCAAUGGAAAACACCACUGUCUGCUCCAGCACAGCUGCCAUUCUUCCAUCUUAUCGACCUUAAUGCAACAACUCCUCACAGGCAGAGAUUUUAAAAUGUGUUCUUGGCAGAAGAGAGACUCAAAGAUGGGACAAAUGUGUCAUUUAAAUGCCUGUUAAAAUGGAAACAGACAUAGUAUAGUCAGAGGAUUGUGGCAGCUAAGAACAUAGUCUCUGGAGCAAAUCUGCAUGGGUGGCAAUGCCAAGCACAUGAGGUCCUAGUUGUAUGAACUUAGGAAAAGAAAAAGAGAACAUAUAUCCCCCUACCUUUUGAUUUCCAACAGUCUACUGAGAGGCCAAGAUUAUUUGCAGGGAAAGAAAAGGGGUCAAAAUGUUUUGCCAGUAACUCCCAAAUCAUCUACAGCCAAGGAGAAAAGUGUUUCAAGACAGAGGUGCUCAAUGGUAUCAAAUACUGCCAACAGACCAAGUAAUACAUGCAUUGAAGUGUCUACUGGAUCUAGCUAUAUGAAUUUUUAAUUUAGGACACUUAGGCCAUACUGAAGCAAGGUGACAAAAUGAAUAGCUACAAUGUCUCGUGAAUCUUGGGUUUCCAUUCACCCUGGUAUUCAAGAGAAAUUCUUGCAUCAUGGAAGUUGCAGUUGGAUAGGACUUUCUCAGCUGAACACUGUCAUCUGCCAGAGCUUCAGGCAAGAACCCAGAACAGAUGAAACCCCAGACAUGACAAAAUAAGCCAAAGAAUACCAGGCCAAGGUGUGAAAGGCCAGAUGAGAACAAGCAGCGUACACGAUUCUGUUGCCAACAGAUCUCCCCUAACAGUGUCGUGCACCAAAUUUCCACAGUGAAUGUCAGGAAAAAAUGGCAAUUGAGGUGGGUGGUCAAAAGAGAAGCACAGUCUAUGAUGAAGUCACCCCAGAGAAGUCCUUUUUCCGUUUUCUCCUGAGAAAUUACCAGAAGAAAUUAAAAUCCUUUUGAGUAUUGCAUUUA